AGCGAGAGAAACUCCAACACACCGUCCAUCAGAAGAGCCUCCAGCUACAGGUGAUACUGAAAAGGAGAGAAUGUGGUGUAUUGAGCUUUAGGGACAAGGAAAUCUGAAGAAGCAACACAAUCUUUCUCUGAUUCCCAUCUGAAGAAAGUUUCCACUGGUCUGUGUGUUUGUUGUGUAACAGAAUCAGAUUCUUUUCUUUUCCAAAUUGUAGCUUUUCCAUUACAUUGGUAAAGGUUAACGUCUCAUCAGUCCAUUAUCAGUUCAUGGGCUUGUCUCUGUACUUCAUAGCAGAUUCCAGCCUAGUCUUCCUAUUCUUCUGGGUAAUUAGUGGUUUUCAUCUUCAUGUGGAUUUUAUGGAUUUCUGUUCAUUAAGUCCUUUAUGAACAGUAGACUGUAUUACCUUCAUCCCUGCCCUCUGGAGGAUGUUGCUAAUGUUAUUAACAGUUGUUUUAGGGUUUUUCUUUACAGCACUCCCGUCAUCAACUGCUGUGGUUUUCCUUGAACUACCUGUUCAACAGCUGUUACUUAGUACACCAGUGGCGAGGGUUGUUUUAAGGCAUUUUUAGGCCCCAAGCAAAAUGGACCCCACCCUCUCUGACACCCUUGGACCACAGCAAAAAAAAUAUAUAACAACCAACUUAUAAAGAAAUUUGUAGUGUUGCAUAGUAACUAUGAAGGAGGGCCCCAUAUUCAAAAAUCUAAAUAAUGUCCAGUAAAAAAUAUUUGUGAUCAUUUUAUAACAAUGUUACAUAUUGAAAUUAACUAUUAACAGUUUAGAGAAAUUUACUAUACCUUCAGUGCAGUAAUUUAUCCAAUGUAAAUUAUGGCUUACCACUGUUGUUUUAUUUUUAUUUUUAUUUAUUUCUCUCCUUUCUUUUCUGGCUUCCUGGAUGGUUAAAUAACUGAGCUUAAACAUUUAGUAUUUUGCCGGCUGCAGGACUAAUGACAAUGGCUCACUGACAACUGUCAUUAACUAGUAGAAGGGGGGCCCCAGAUUCUUUCCUACAUUGACCAUCACAGAACUCACACAUUUUAUCGUUGUAUUUAAUUCAAACACAAGUCAUUGUCUGGGGGACCCAGGCCAUCUUGAGGAGCCAGGUCAGCGUGCGAUCCUAGGGCAUUGAUUUGUUUGCUUGUCUUGUUGCAGCAGUUGUACUGGUCAUAGCCAGUAUUUGUGCAAUAUCUCUGAUUUUCCAUCUUUUCUCAGCUUCAAAAUUGCCCAUAGACAUUUCUCUGGUUUUCAUGUUGGUUACUUCUUUAACUAUAAAUACACAGUCUGCACAGGCAAAACCCAAUGUAAAACUGAGCGUAGACAUUUAGCACUAUUAUUUUUUUAAAUGUAUCAGGACACACCUGGGCACCCAAACACAACUGCCAGUCACAUGUUCCAAUACGUUAGCUCCCAAGAAAACUGGGUGGAUUCAUACAAAGGGUGCUAUCUGUUUAUCUAACUGUAUAUCAGAUUCAGAUGUAAAUACCUGCAAAUAAAAGCUGAAAUGUU